UGCCCAGUGAAUUUUUUUAACGGCCGCGGUACUCUGACCGUGCAAAGGUAGCAUAAUCAUUUGCCUUAUAAUUGAAGGCUAGUAUGAAUGGUUUGACAAGAAUGUAGCUGUCUCUUUAUAAUUAAAUAGAAUUUUAUUUAUAGGUGAAGAAGCCUAUAUUAAAUUAAAAGACAAGAAGACCCUAUCGAGCUUGAAAGAAACUAAUAGAGUAAUAAUUAAUAAUACCAAAAAAUUUACUAUUAGAAAUUUUAGUUGGGGGGACUAAGGAACAAAAAAAGCUUCCUUUAAAAAUUAAAAACUAAACAAGUAUUGAUCCAAAACAUUUUGAUUAAAGGAAUUAGUUACCGUAGGGAUAACAGCAUUAUCUUUUUUAAGAGCUCUUAUCGAAAAAAAGGUUUGUGACCUCGAUGUUGGACCAGAAUAUCCUAAAGAUGCAGCA
rnacentral:rRNA from 1 species